rnacentral:rRNA from 1 species
GAUGAACGCUGGCGGCGUGCCUAAUACAUGCAAGUCGAGCGAACAGAUGAGGCUCUUGCUCCUCUGACGUUAGCGGCGGACGGGUGAGUAACACGUGGAUAACCUACCUAUAAGACUGGGAUAACUUCGGGAAACCGGAUCUAAUACCGGAUAAUAUAUUGAACCGCAUGGUUCAAUAGUGAAAGACGGUUUUGCUGUCACUUAUAGAUGGAUCCGCGCCGCAUUAGCUAGUUGGUACGGUAACGGCCUACCAAGGCUACGAUGCGUAGCCGACCUGAGAGGGUGAUCGGCCACACUGGAACUGAGACACGGUCCAGACUCCUACGGGAGGCAGCAGUAGGGAAUCUUCCGCAAUGGGCGAAAGCCUGACGGAGCAACGCCGCGUGUGUGAUGAAGGUCUUCGGAUCGUAAAACUCUGUCAUUAGGGAAGAACAAAUGUGUAAGUAACUAUGCACGUCUUGACGGUACCUAAUCAGAAAGCCACGGCUAACUACGUG